rnacentral:tRNA from 1 species
GGAGGAAUGGGUGAGUGGUUUAAACCAACGGUUUACUAAACCGUCGUCCUUUAAUCGGGACCGUGAGUUCGAAUCUCACUUCCUCCG